rnacentral:rRNA from 1 species
AACGUAGGAGGCAAGCGUUAUCCGGAGUUACUGGGCGUAAAGCGCGUGUAGGCGGCUCGGUAAGUGGGUCGUGAAAGCGCCCGGCUAAACUGGGCGAGGACGAUCGAGACUGCCAGGCUAGAGGGUGGUAGAGGGACAGGGAAUUCCGGGUGUAGCGGUGAAAUGUGUAGAGAUCCGGAGGAACACCAGUGGCGAAGGCGCUGUCCUGGGCCACCUCUGACGCUGAGACGCGAAGGCGUGGGGAGCGAACGGG